rnacentral:rRNA from 1 species
AAAACACUAAUGAACGCUGGCGGCAUGCCUUACACAUGCAAGUCGAACGGCAGCAUGACCUAGCUUGCUAGGUUGAUGGCGAGUGGCGAACGGGUGAGUAAUGCAUCGGAACGUGCCUUUUAGUGGGGGAUAACGUAGCGAAAGUUACGCUAAUACCGCAUAUUCUCUGAGGAGGAAAGCAGGGGACCUUCGGGCCUUGCGCUAGAAGAGCGGCCGAUGUCGGAUUAGCUAGUUGGUGAGGUAAAGGCUCACCAAGGCAACGAUCCGUAGCGGGUCUGAGAGGAUGAUCCGCCACACUGGGACUGAGACACGGCCCAG